UUACAGUAUUUAUCCAGAGCUAUGUGAGGACCAUAGAGGAAAUAGGUUCUACCUGACACUUCUGCUGGGGGGUUCUAGAAGAGGGAGAGUUCCAGAAGGCCUGAUGCUUUAUGUGUGGAACUCUGUACUGAUCCCCUCUAAAAGAAUGACAAGUUGUGAAGGUACCAAUCAUCAGAAGUGUCCUGGCAGGUGCACCUGGGUGUCUCAGUAAUGUAUUAUUUAAAGCUUUCAAAAAUGUUUGUGAAUGUAUUGGCAAAUAAAGAAUGUACUUUUCUGCAUGUCCCAGGAGUAACCAAAAACAAUACCGGAAAAGUGACAUCACAUACUCAGAUGAAUAUUUCUGGGUAACAGGACUUCACAUUUAUCUGAUAUGGCUGUUCUGAAACAGGGGACCAAGGACCUUCACUUUUCCCCUGCAGCAUGCUAGAGGGAACUCAGCAACAUUCAGUCCUGGGAUGUGGGAGGCUGCUGCUUUGCAAAUAAAGUGGAUAAUAAAAGUGCCCAGUUCUGGUACUAGAGAAUGAUUUAAUGCAGAAUAUAUACAUGUAAGAUUUUUAAUUAAAGGUGUGAGGUAUAUGUGGUUCUCA